GGUCUCUUAUGUGCGUAGAGAUACUGAAUUUCAAAGAGUGUACUCGUUAUUCGUUUUUGUCCUCUCCAUUGGAGUUUGAUCGGAAAACAAAUCAUUAAUAUAAAAAAAAUUGUUAUAGUCACAGCAGAGUAAUUGAAGAAAAUUGAAAUUCUUUACUGGACUGAGUGAUAAUGACGUAUAAAUAUUUGAUACUAAAUACCCAAAAACUGAAGACAUAGAAUGUUUGUCCGAUUGUUUAAAACUGUUUCAAAUAAACGUAUAUUGCCACCAAGAAAUUAUUACUGUAUUACUGUGUAUUAUAUACACAACAUAAUACUCAAUUUUGUAGGUAAAUUAAAUCGAAUACCGGGACUUUGAUGUAUUAUGAAUAUCGUUACAUAAUAUUUUUAUUUGCCACAUUGAUUAUACAUGCCAUGGAAUUCAAACAAAUGUACAGUAUAUUCACGUAUUUCAAAAUAUUUAAAUACUCAUUUUGUGAUUUUAUAAUUAAAAAUACAAAGUAUGUAUACAUUUAUUUUAAACUUAGCAC